rnacentral:rRNA from 1 species
CCUACGGGAGGCAGCAGUGGGGGAUAUUGCACAAUGGGGGGAACCCUGAUGCAGCGACGCCGCGUGGGUGAAGGAGCGUUUCGGUGCGUAAAGCCCUAUCGGCAGGGAAGAAGGAGGACGGUACCUGACUAAGAAGCCCCGGCGAACUACGUGCCAGCAGCCGCGGUAAUACGUAGGGGGCAAGCGUUAUCCGGAUUUACGGGGGGUAAAGGGGGCGCAGACGGCAGCGCAAGCCAGGAGUGAAAGCCCGGGGACCAACCCCGGGACUGCUCUUGGAACUGCGCGGCUGGAGUGCAGGAGGGGCAGGCGGAAUUCCUGGUGUAGCGGUGAAAUGCGUAGAUAUCAGGAGGAACACCGGUGGCGAAGGCGGACUGCUGGACUGCGACUGACGUUGAGGCCCGAAAGCGUGGGGAGCAAACAGGAUUAGAUACCCCGGUAGUC